GCUUCCACGCCUUAAAACAGGCAACAGGGCCCAAGGAAUCAGAUCUGGACCCGAACACAGAAAUCAACGACAAAUCAUCCUAGUCCUCAUCAUUAGCUUCGUAUACCCCAUCUUAGGCUACCAUACCCGUCUCCCAUCGUCAUUUCCGCGUCUCGAAAAUUGUCCGAAUAAUUACUGAGGAUAAACAUUUACUGAUCAUUGAAUCUCUUGUUAGUUUCACUGAAGAUUUCUACAUUAGUAGAAUCAUGGUUUUGAUGUUGCUAUAAUUGGUGAUUUGAUUGACUUUUUUUCUUCUUUUUUUGUGGAUUUGUUGUGGCAGGGCGGGAAGAAUUGAUUUCGGAUUUGUCAAAUUUGGGGCAUCCAAUUCAGAGAUCCACAGACAAGAAGGGAAGACAUACUUGAGUAUGUGGCCACCAGGCAGUAACUAUCGCUUAGUAAAAGAGUUGAGACCCCGAAUAAAAUAAUCAGAAGGAGCUGUUAGUUCAUCCAACAAGGACUCAGAUUUAUCAAGGAGUGCACUUCAGAAAAUGAGAUCCUUGGAGGUUAUGUUGUCAAAAGUCAGUCGUGUUUUCCCAGACUGCUCUGCCAUGGCUUCGAAGCUCCGCGCCAUGACUUACAAUGCUGAAGAAAAGGUUCGAGCACAGAAGAAUCAAGCAACAUAUCUUGUUCAGAUUGCAGGAAGGACUACACCGAAAGGCCUACACUGCCUUUCUACGCGGCUGACUGCUGAAUUUUUUGCCUUGCCAGCUGAGGAAAGACAGCUCCCUAACCAACAAAGAGUGCAGGAUCCAGAUCUCUAUCACUAUGCUGUUUUCACUGGCAAUGUUCUGUCCUGUGCAGUGGUUGUCAAUUCUACUGUGUCCUCUGCCAUGGUAAAUUGCAUCUGCCUUUUUUGAUUGUUUUUUAGCUUGUGUAUACAGAUUUCACUUCAGGCUUCUGAUGAGGCUGUUAUAACUUGCGUAGUUACAGAGAAAAAGUUAUUUGGAAUAAAUAUAAGCGGCAAUUAAAUCAUCUCCAGCAAGUGGACUGGCUCCCAUUAGUGAUUCCUAUGUUAAGACUGACACCUUUUCUCUUUCCAAGAGAGAAAAAAUUUGUGCCUGCAAUCACACUAGUAUCAUAUUUGCCAGAAUAUUAUACAUCCUGUCCAAGUCGAAACAAUAUUUUUUGUAUGUCCUAGCAAAUCGUGUGACCGUUGCGCCGUCGAGAAAAUUUU